GUAAUAAUUAACCAAUCCCGCCAGGGGGAGCUGUGUAUAAAAGAGGGCCAUUCUCACUGGUGCAGCCUCUGCCGCUGAGUCUGGAGUAGACCCCGCCCCUGGGCUUUCUCACUUCCUGGUGUGAACCGUGUGAGCCGUGCGAGUUGUGCUUACCUGUUGGGCCGCGUUUGGGGAUCAAUUCCUCCUUCAUCUGGGUGUCAACUUGCUGCUAGAUGAGUGGCUGUAGGGAGGUCGCAGACUCCCCACCUCUCCUACUGGGCGUGUCAGUUAAAUGUUUGUUUGCCAGGAGCGGCUAAUCUGCCGUGGAGCCCGCCAGCUGUUUUGUCCUUCCGUGUGGCUUCGAAGUCCAGUGUUGGCACCCAUAAAUACGCCUGGACUGCCUCUGCUCCUUGGAAGUCCGCCGUCUGCAGAAGCUGAGCACGACGGUGGCGGCAUCGGUGUCCCUGGGUGGUGGGUCUCCCUCCCGUGUGAUGUGCUGCGCACCCCUUUUUGUUUGAGUGUGUUCACCUUUAUUUUCAGCGAGUGAGAGUGUCCACGUGUGUCUGGGGUGAUCCUUCAGAGGCCUUCAUUCCCCUUACUACCCGUGUCCCACCGGUAAGCCUCAGCUCCUGUUUGGGCUCCCCCCUCU